rnacentral:lncRNA from 1 species
AGGGCUGAUCCCAUUCAUCCCUGGGAGAAGCCUAGCAAGUUCAUCCUCUCCCACCCCACGUUUCAGAGGAGCCAACUCAGGCUCAGAGAGAUGCGGUGACAUUCCCAAGGCAAGACACACAGCUGGCAGUGGGCAGAGUCACCACUGUGCUGAGGGGGAGGUAGGCAGUCACCUGGGAAACAGCUGGUCCAGCACCUGGUGGGCUGUGCUGGAGCCUGAGUAGCUGCAGAGGGAGGUGAUGACACUGCAGAGGACUCUGCUGGGGAAGGCUGGCAGCACAGUCUCUGAGAGCCUCUGCAUCAUGCCUGCCUGGAGGGCACGCAUCCUGCAGGCCUCAGUGACAGAGUGGACUCAUCUUCACUCUGGGUGGGACGAGGAGGGACACAGAGUCAGGGUCACCACUGCGAACCACCAGCGUUAUCGGGGUCCGCAGCUGACCCAGGAACUCCUAGCCCCUCCCAGACGUCUGCGACAGGAGAGACAGGGGUCCCAACUCAGCAAAGUUCUGGGCUCUCAAAGUACAAUCUGACUUUGGUCCUGGGAAGGAUUCCACAUUGACCUCCCUCAAGGCCAUUUGCUCGCUGAGGGACAACAGAGCUCCCUCUGUGCAGAGCACCAGCCCAGUGAAUCCUCAACAGACACCCCUCUCUAGAGAGGAGAACAGAGGCUUUGGCAUGCCAAGUGGCUUCUCUAGGUCCUGUGGCUCAGAACUGAGAACCGCCCAAAGUGAGGGCUGAGGGACAUCCCCUCUAACUGCCUGAGGCUUCAUCAGACCCUGACCUGGAGGGAAAUGUUAUGUGGCCACCUCACCCCUCCCAGGUCUGGAAACAGUGUACAGGGCAGUGACACGUUCUGAGAAUCCCUUUGACUUUCAAACACGCUGAUGGUUAUUUCUUUUACAUUAAAGGGAGUUUGGAGACCCUUGUUAUCGAGGUUUCAUUUUCCAAAAAAGGCAAAAUUCAAAGAUACUCAGGUCCUAUUGGGAAGUGACAACGACAUCAACGUUUUCUCUAAUCUUCCUAGGAAAAUGCAAAGAGUGCCCUCCUACCCUCCUAUGCAGCUGGUGGGGAGGAGCGGAAGUCCAGAUUCCUUUGGGAAUGGGACUGUGGGACACUCAUGGGGGACAGCCCUGUUAGGGUCCCAGGAGAACGGCAGUUUGAGGUUGGAUUCUGGGCCUGCCCUGGUCAUCUCAGGGGCCUGGGUGGGAAGACCCCUCCGUGCCCACUCUCACCUCAGAGCAGCCCUGGUUAUUGAUGGUGGCGCGGUGCAGCUGGUCCCUGUCCAGGGAGAUGGAGUACCCGAAGCCAUCCGUCAGCUCUUCCACCACCUCCUGCGUGCAGCUCUGCAAAGACAGUGCCCGAGAGCCAGGCCGGGAGGUCUGAGGGGCAUGCCUCGACUUGGCCACAGGAGGAAACCCCAGCACAGAUCAGACGGGAGACUAGGGGCUGGAAGGAUGUAGACAGCACUCCCUGAGACAGGAUGAAUCGAUGAAUGAACAACACUGCUGAAGGCAUUACCAAUGGCAGAUCCGCCUCCCUAUGGACAUUCCCAAGGACAAUCACACCCAAGCAUCCCUCCUCCGUCCUGCAUCGUCCUCUGGGAUUCUAUCCAGGAAUCACGGGGGCUUUUUGAACCCUGGGACCCACACCCACCACAGGUUCUCUUCUGUCUGGCAGCAAACCCCAGGCCUUGUCCUAAUGGCUGCAGCCCACAGGUUCUGAACACAGAUCCUUUUCUUCACUUGAGGGAGACAUGUCAUUCCCAGAGCUGGGCACACAGAGUGUCAGCCUUGGAGGAAAUGCCUCCCUGGCCAGUGGCAGGUGGAAGAGCGCCGUGACGGAGUAGGAUUUGGGGAGAGUCCUCCAGGUGUGGUCAGAAGGGGCCCAGCCAGGGCAUUUGUCAGCAAGGUCUGGUUGGUGGACCUUGGUGGCAAAAGAGUGGUGGGGACAGCAUGUUUUAGAGUUCCUGGCAUGAGACAAUCCACAGGAUGGUCAUGAAGUCAGAAUCAGCCUAAUGAGGUCCAGCUCAAUCCACUGUCAUCUGUUCCCUGACUGGCUCACUAAUCCAGGAGUGAUUUACAAGGGCGAUAUUCGUGUUCUACCAUCUUUUCGUUGAUUGGCAGGAGCUAGUAUUCUUUACAAAACUUGUGUACUUUUACAUAGGAAAGGAUAGGUGAGUUCUGUAACAACCCUUCUUGCAAAGUUCUCACUAACGUAUUGAGUCUCUAACAGAAUCCGCCGCUGGGAACUUCACCAAAGAUCCUGACCUUUACUCUCUGGUUUUAGAUCUUCCUGGUUGGUAAAUUUUCUUGACUCCUGGCUCCUUUCCUGAGGUUCGUCCACUUAGAGCAAUGUAGGACUGCAAGCUCUUGCCACUUGAGAAGUAGUGGUUCAACUCUAUGAUGAUGUUGGUCUUGCUUACUAAGUGUGUGUGUGUGUAUGUAUGUGUGUAUGAGACUGUUUUCUGCAUCUUGCCACGUGGGUCAGAUUGACUCCUUUCCUUGGAAAAAUUGUCCCUAACCACUUUCUCUGGGCUUUAUUUUCACGUCUUGAACAGUGCUGUCCAACAGUAGAAUUUCACACUCUAUCUAAUGAAAUUUAAACUUUUUUUAAAUACUGACAUUUAAAAAAGUAAAAAUAAACAAGUGACACUAAUUUUUAAUGGUAUAUUU